rnacentral:misc_RNA from 1 species
UUGUUUUGUUAUGAUAUAUGAUGUUCAUUACACCAUGUUUGUAAAAUAGCCCCGAAGGGCACGGUUCACAGAGGUUUGGAAUAGUUAUAAGCCCGUGAGGGCGUUCACUAAUGAUCCUUCCGCAGGUUCACCUACGGAAA